UACGAAGGGUGCAAACGUUGCUCGGAAUUACUGGGCGUAAAGCGCGUGUAGGCGGCCCUGCAAGUCGGAUGUGAAAUCCCACGGCUCAACCGUGGAAGUGCAUUCGAAACUGCAGGGCUAGAGUCCUGGAGAGGAAGGUGGAAUGCUUGGUGUAGAGGUGAAAUUCGUAGAUAUCAAGCGGAACACCGGUGGCGAAGGCGGCCUUCUGGACAGUGACUGACGCUGAGACGCGAAAGCGUGGGGAGCAAACAGG
rnacentral:rRNA from 1 species